GAACCCGGUUAGGAUUGUCA
rnacentral:snRNA from 1 species